rnacentral:misc_RNA from 1 species
AAGUCGUAACAAGGUUUCCGUAGGUGAACCUGCGGAAGGAUCAUUAAAGAGUUAGGGUCCUAAACGGGCCCGAACCUCCAACCCUUUGUUGUCGAACAAAAAAUCGUUGCUUUGGCGGGACCGUCCCUUCCCUCACGGGUCGUGGGCUGUCGGGCCCCUCACCGGGCCGGGCAUGUCGCCCGCCAGAGUCAAACUCCAACUCUUCUCUUUAAACAGUACAGUCUGAGUUAAAAUUGAUAAAUAAAUCAAAACUUUCAACAACGGAUCUCUUGGUUCUG